rnacentral:rRNA from 1 species
AUUGAACGCUGGCGGCAUGCCUUACACAUGCAAGUCGAACGGCAGCGGGGGAGAAGCUUGCUUUUCCUGCCGGCGAGUGGCGAACGGGUGAGUAAUACAUCGGAACGUGCCCUGUAGUGGGGGAUAACUAGUCGAAAGAUUAGCUAAUACCGCAUACGACCUGAGGGUGAAAGUGGGGGACCGCAAGGCCCCAUGCUAUAGGAGCGGCCGAUGUCUGAUUAGCUAGUUGGUGGGGUAAAGGCCUACCAAGGCGACGAUCAGCAGCUGGUCUGAGAGGACGAUCAGCCACACUGGGACUGAGACACGGCCCAGACUCCUACGGGAGGCAGCAGUGGGGAAUUUUGGACAAUGGGCGAAAGCCUGAUCCAGCAAUGCCGCGUGUGUGAAGAAGGCCUUCGGGUUGUAAAGCACUUUUGUCCGGAAAGAAAUGGCUCUGGUUAAUACCUGGGGUCGAUGACGGUACCGGAAGAAUAAGGACCGGCUAACUACGUGCCAGCAGCCGCGGUAA